rnacentral:rRNA from 1 species
CUGAUUAGCUAGUUGGUAGGGUAACGGCCUACCAAGGCGAUGAUCAGUAGGGGGCGUGAGAGCGUGGCCCCCCACACGGGUACUGAGGCACGGACCCGACUCCUACGGGAGGCAGCAGUAAGGAAUAUUGGGCAAUGGAGGCAACUCUGACCCAGCCAUCCCGCGUGAAGGAUGACGGCCCUAUGGGUUGUAAACUUCUUUUGUUUGGGAAGAAAUCAGGACAUUGAUGUGCUGUUGACGGUACCUUACGAAUAAGCACCGGCUAACUCCGUGCCAGCAGCCGCGGUAAUACGGAGGGUGCAAGCGUUAUCCGGAAUCACUGGGUUUAAAGGGUGCGUAGGCGGCUAAAUAAGUCAGAGGUGAAAGCUGGCAGCUCAACUGUCAAACUGCCUUUGAUACUGUUUGGCUUGAAUCAGGUUAAGGUAGGCAGAAUGUGGCAUGUA